GACGAACGCUGGCGGCGCGCCUAACACAUGCAAGUCGAACGAGCGAGAGAGAGCUUGCUUUCUCAAGCGAGUGGCGAACGGGUGAGUAACGCGUGAGGAACCUGCCUCAAAGAGGGGGACAACAGUUGGAAACGACUGCUAAUACCGCAUAAGCCCACGACCCGGCAUCGGGUAGAGGGAAAAGGAGCAAUCCGCUUUGAGAUGGCCUCGCGUCCGAUUAGCUAGUUGGUGAGGUAACGGCCCACCAAGGCGACGAUCGGUAGCCGGACUGAGAGGUUGAACGGCCACAUUGGGACUGAGACACGGCCCAGACUCCUACGGGAGGCAGCAGUGGGGAAUAUUGCACAAUGGGGGAAACCCUGAUGCAGCGACGCCGCGUGGAGGAAGAAGGUCUUCGGAUUGUAAAAUCCUGUUGUUGAGGAAGAUAAUGACGGUACUCAACAAGGAAGUGACGGCUAACUACGUG
rnacentral:rRNA from 1 species